AGCCAAGCUUGCUUGGUGGAUCAGUGGCGAACGGGUGAGUAACACGUGAGCAACCUGCCCUGGACUCUGGGAUAAGCGCUGGAAACGGCGUCUAAUACUGGAUAUGAGACGUGAUCGCAUGGUCGUGUUUGGAAAGAUUUUUCGGUCUGGGAUGGGCUCGCGGCCUAUCAGCUUGUUGGUGAGGUAAUGGCUCACCAAGGCGUCGACGGGUAGCCGGCCUGAGAGGGUGACCGGCCACACUGGGACUGAGACACGGCCCAGACUCCUACGGGAGGCAGCAGUGGGGAAUAUUGCACAAUGGGCGGAAGCCUGAUGCAGCAACGCCGCGUGAGGGAUGACGGCCUUCGGGUUGUAAACCUCUUUUAGCAGGGAAGAAGCGAAAGUGACGGUACCUGCAGAAAAAGCGCCGGCUAACUACGUGCCAGCAGCCGCGGUAAUACGUAGGGCGCAAGCGUUAUCCGGAAUUAUUGGGCGUAAAGAGCUCGUAGGCGGUUUGUCGCGUCUGCUGUGAAAUCCCGAGGCUCAACCUCGGGCCUGCAGUGGGUACGGGCAGACUAGAGUGCGGUAGGGGAGAUUGGAAUUCCUGGUGUAGCGGUGGAAUGCGCAGAUAUCAGGAGGAACACCGAUGGCGAAGGCAGAUCUCUGGGCCGUAACUGACGCUGAGGAGCGAAAGGGUGGGGAGCAAACAGGCUUAGAUACCCUGGUAGUCCACCCCGUAAACGUUGGGAACUAGUUGUGGGGACCAUUCCACGGUUUCCGUGACGCAGCUAACGCAUUAAGUUCCCCGCCUGGGGAGUACGGCCGCAAGGCUAAAACUCAAAGGAAUUGACGGGGACCCGCACAAGCGGCGGAGCAUGCGGAUUAAUUCGAUGCAACGCGAAGAACCUUACCAAGGGCUUGACAUAUACGAGAACGGGCCAGAAAUGGUCAACUCUUUUGGGACACUCGUAAACAGGUGGUGCAUGG
rnacentral:rRNA from 1 species